rnacentral:ncRNA from 19 species
UUGUCGGCAUCAAGCGGCGGAGGCUUUCGCAGCUUCGUCGUGAGAGGGAACCCGGUGGGAAUCCGGGACUGUCCCGCAGCGGUAUGCAGGAACGAACACCGUCAUCGGCACUGGCCCCACAGCCUGGGACUGGGAAGCGACGGUUAGUAGGAGCACCAUCGUCGGUGCGGGCCUGCGAGUCCGAAGACCUGCCAGUUGCGCCGGGCACGUU